rnacentral:misc_RNA from 1 species
GCUAAAAGGCUCCAGCACAAAACUGUCGCUGCAUAUAAGAAUAUAGGUGUGUGAUAUACAAUGAGUUUUAGCUUAGUUGUAUAACAUUCAUAUGUAGAACCCUUCGGGUUCGAGUUGAAUUCUUGUAAGUGUGAAAUGAAAAUAUAUAUAUAUAGAGGGAGAGGGAUGAAUACCAUUGAUGAUAAUGGGUGUAAUGGUGGCCGGAAAGCUGUGUAAUCAUAUAAUAUUAG